UACCAUUUUGGGAAUGAAUGUCUCCCUUAGCAUACUGCUUAAACCGCUUAUUAAAGCUGAUGACUUCUGCGCAUAG
ncrna:Carnobacterium sp. AT7 Fluoride riboswitch